AGACUAAUGGUAUCUGCACCCAGAAGUACUUUCCUGAUGAUGUGGAAAAGGCAGUACUACAGUAAUUCAGCAGCUAGCCUUGUUUGUUUUCAUGCUGGAUGUGCUAAUUAAACUUGGCAUUUCUCUUGGGACAAGU